UGGGAUGUGGUGUAGAGGUUUCGGCACGACUGGCUCUGAACCAGUAGGAUCGGGUUCGAUUCCCGGCAUCCCGG
rnacentral:tRNA from 1 species